UAGUCCACGCCCUAAACGAUGUAUGCUAGACGUCGGGAGACUUGUCUUUCGGUGUCGCCGCUAACGCAUUAAGCAUACCGCCUGGGGAGUACGGUCGCAAGAUUAAAACUCAAAGGAAUUGACGGGGGCCCGCACAAGCGGUGGAGCAUGUGGUUUAAUUCGAUAAUAAGCGGGGAACCUUACCGGGGCUUGACAUCUUCAGAACACUUUAGAAAUUUAGUGGUGCUCUUAGGAGAACUGAAUGACAGGUGCUGCAUGGUUGUCGUCAGCUCGUGCCUUGAGGUGUUCGGUUAAGUCCGUUAACGAGCGCAACCCUCGUCGUAUGUUGUUCAUUUCAUGCGAGACUGCCAGGUUCAACCUGGAGGAAGGUGAGGAUGACGUCAAAUCAGCAUGGCCCUUAUGUCCCGGGGCGACACAGGUGCUACAAUGGGGAAGUACAAUGCGCAGCCAAGCCGUAAGGUGGAGCCAAUCGCAAC
rnacentral:rRNA from 1 species